UUCAAUGUUUGGUGUCUUGGAAAGAGCGCAAUAAGAUUGUCUCCGUUAACGGACACACCACGGAAGAUGUCUUGGCUGCCGUGAGGGCGACAGAUUUCGGAGAUGUCGCGUCAACCUGCAGAAUAGAGGUUUACAAUGCACAAUUUGAUGCAUAUGUAGACCCACCGCAUAGUCAUGUUUUUUGUGAUGGAAGCAGACUUAGGAUAAUCACUGAUGAGGCCAUUCCUCGCCCUUGCAGCACAAAUGAAACUCUUGUAAUCGCUCCAGAGUGUUAUUCAUCAAGCAGUCAUGAACCUUGCAUUGGAAGCGAUUACAGAGUGCCACCUCUACCUUUAGAUUUAAAAGUGGCCAUUGCUAAUACAGAAAUUGGAAAAGUUUCAAGUCGGACAAAAUCAGGAAUACUCUCCUGGAUAAGCCUCCA